rnacentral:rRNA from 1 species
AUUGAACGCUGGCGGCAGGCCUAACACAUGCAAGUCGAACGGCAGCACAGAAGAGCUUGCUCUUUGGGUGGCGAGUGGCGGACGGGUGAGUAAUGUCUGGGAAACUGCCCGAUGGAGGGGGAUAACUACUGGAAACGGUAGCUAAUACCGCAUAACGUCGCAAGACCAAAGUGGGGGACCUUCGGGCCUCACACCAUCGGAUUGGCCCAGAUGGGAUUAGCUAGUAGGUGGGGUAAUGGCUCACCUAGGCGACGAUCCCUAGCUGGUCUGAGAGGAUGACCAGCCACACUGGAACUGAGACACGGUCCAGACUCCUACGGGAGGCAGCAGUGGGGAAUAUUGCACAAUGGGCGCAAGCCUGAUGCAGCCAUGCCGCGUGUAUGAAGAAGGCCUUCGGGUUGUAAAGUACUUUCAGCGGGGAGGAAGGCGGUGAGGUUAAUAACCUUGCCGAUUGACGUUACCCGCAGAAGAAGCACCGGCUAACUCCGUGCCAGCCGCCGCCGUAA